UCCACACAAAUUUGCAGUACAAAAACAUUCCGUCAUUCAAAUCAAUCUUUCACUUGGCUUUGUUUAUUCCUAAUUCUUCACCACUCCCGCCAUUGAAAUUUAUACUAUAUCUUCAGGAAUAUAUUUAACUAUUGCAAAAGAAGGAAGAAGAUAAAUGCGGACUGAAUAUUAACAAGAAUCCGAAGCUUGUUUAUCCUUGCUAAAAUAUGGUCCAGCAAUCAGCCUGUUUCGAGAUUCACUUCAUCUAUUUUUGGAGAAAAGAUUCAGCACUCUUACUUUUUCAGGUCAGAAAAAAUAAUAAUUUGUUCCUCCCAUUAUAUAUAUUCGUUAGAGAUGAUUAUUCUGAUUCUUCUUCUUCUGCUGCUGCUGCCUUUUAGUUUAAUUAAUUUCCUUAUAAUGGUAAAAGCUUUUCCUUUUUCUUUCUUUAUAGGAUUAGAAUAUAUCAUGGGCUUCUUCUGAUGCUUGAGUUAGCAACCACUAGAUACUCAAAGUCAAGAUAUCAAUAUCCCGGUAUUGAAGAAGGUAGUUUGAUAGCACAUAUGCCUGUAACGAGUCUUCAUCACUAUACAAGGGUUGUGGCCGGUCAAAUCAGUCAACUUUAAUACUAGUACGAGCCUUAAUUUUACCUUUUUCUCAUUAUUAAUUAAGCCUUAAUUUGAAAAACUUGGACCUUUGACGUGUAUGUGUUACUAUAGCAAGGGACAUGUAAUUGGCUUUGACACCUCUCUUUUUAGUCUGUUUUAAUUAUAUAAAUGCUUUGUUAUAUGUAGAAACAAUUUUGAUUUUAUUCUUAUUUAUAUCAAAAAUCUUUUAUUUGUUUCUUAAAUUUUGUGUCUAGUAAUUAAACACACUUGCAUAAAUUUACCAAAGGUAUUAUUUUCAUUUCGGCUCUGGUUAAUUAAUUAGGAGAGACAAAAGAUAGACACCGUGGUAUGCCAAAAACUUUUUAGUUUAGUUACUAAUUAAGUACUACUACUAGUACUUACUACAAACUCUUCUUUGAUUCUAUGAGAACAGGAGUUGAAGUGUUUAAUCCAGGCAUUCUUGGAUGCAGAUUCCUCCAAUAUUCCUUCUUCGACGUAAGGUACCAUCUAUAAAUUUCUCGUUAAAGCCUAAUCUAAAAAUAUUGCUUUUGAUUCUUCCAUAUAUUCCCAAUGAUGCUAUAAUUUGUGAUGGAAAAUAAGUAGCAACUUUUGGUGAAUAAAUACUGCAAAUAUAUCUUGGGAAUGUUCGGUAAUAUUAACUGGAAAUCUUAAUUAGCUUAACAUUUCCCUAGUCAAACAUCCAUCAGAAUCAUUCCAGUUAGAGAUAAGAUGAAAACAGAACCAGUUAGCAACAGAGAAUAUCCUAUAUUCUAGAUCAACCUUAGAUAUAUGCUGCAAGAACAUAUCUUUCUAGCAUUUAAUAUCUUACAGGUUUCGAACUAUGCGGAACUCCUUUAAGUUACGACAAAAAUGGUUGUUUUUGUUUGGCUUUCAUAUAUGAUUUUCUUAAAUACUUAUAUGGAGUAACUGUAUAAAUAUCUGCAGUCAAUAAUAUUUAAAAGUUAAAUUUAGUUCUAAAAGCUCUCAGUUGAUGUGAAAUGAUAGAACUCAAAUAUUCUUCGUUUUAAAAAAAGAAAAAGAAAACAACCAUCUAUCAUCUGCUGAGAGACGACUAAUAUAUUCCUAAAAUAUAGAUGUACCCAAGAAUAGAACUAGUUUGAUUAGUUGCAAAUGGCACAAAGAACAUUAUAUUUGCAUCAUAUAUAUGUACUUGCUGAUUUGAUAUACAAGCUGUAAUCCAUCCAUACUAUUGAUAUACAAGAGUGGAUGGAAAAAUGGGAAUAAAGUUGAUUAUAUUCUUUGUUUAUUUGAAUAUAUAAUAAUUAGAACAUAAGCUGGCACUAGAUGAAACUCUAAGAAAGGCUUGUGUAAGUACUCUUAAAUCCUUAACUAGAGGUUUACAAUUAAUUACAAGUUUUGAGAUAUGAAUUAACUUUUGAUAAAGAGUACUCUAUUGCCCGAAAUUAUAGUUAAUUUCCGAUACAAAUCUAGACUAGUCAGACUCCAAAGUGGUAGUCAUAAAGCGGGUCCAAACAUCGGGUGGAAAGCUAAAAAAAAAAUACUAAAAAGUGUUAGAGAAUCAAUUUAGACAUCCCAAGACAAAUAAGGUUAGGCCUUGAACAUUUUCAAACUAAAACAAAGAGGAAAAAGAAGAAAAAAAGACGAGGAAGUGAUCUUAUUUUCUACAACAUUGCCACUUGCAAGAGAAUUCUCGAGGUAGUUCUAAUAAGCCGUAAUUAGGAUUUUGAGUUUAUGGGUUCUGUAUUUUAGGAAAUGUAGUUUACUGGAUUUUAAAUAAAUAAUUUAUGCAUAUAAUUUUUUUUUAAACACAAAUAGAGGGUCUAGGCCAAAACUGUUGAGUUUUACCGAACCUAUACACAAGCUUGUGGCUCCGCCCCUAUAAAUAUACCAUCAAUGUUGCUGAAGAGAACUUGAACAUAUUAAAGUGGUUUUACUCUUAGCAGUUAUUUUUUUAUCUCGGACCCGAUGUUCGGUAUCCGCUUUCUGGCUAAUACGAAUUCGUGCUGCAUAAGGCAUAUUAAAAAAGCAAGCGACCUUACCAAAAACAAUUUCAUACUCACUAAUUAAACCUGUGACUUAUGAUUAAGAGUGGAUCUUGUCCAAAAUCUCACAACCCUCUUGGUGAUACUCUUUGACACUCCUUUCUUCACCGUAAUGUACCUAAUCUUAUUUAUCUGAAUGGUGAGGAAAAGGAAGUUAGCAGCAUUCUCAAAGCAAGUAGUUUUCUGCUAUGUUGCUUGGACUCUUCAAAGAUGUUGUUGGAUGUAUGUCGAAUCCUCCAAAUUUAAUGUAUUUUUGGAGAACCCGGCACAGAUGCGGCAACACUUUUGGAGAGUUCUAUGUGCAGCGUUCUUUUUGCUUGUAUCUGCUGAUUAUACCCCAAUUAUUGUUUGAUCAGUAUAUAUUGCCUCUUUGCCGUUUAUCCUUAGUUAUAUUUUUUCUCACUUUUUCAAGGAGAGUUUGCUUAUUGCUUUCUUUUCAUUGUUCUUGAGUCGAGGGUUUAUCGGAAAUAACCUCUCUAUAUUUAUAAGGCAUAGGCACGGUCAGCGUACGCAUUACCCUCACCGGAUCCCACUUGUAAAAUUCCACCGGAUUUGUUGUUGUUGUACUUUUCAAGGAGUGUGCCUCAAUUAGCAAAUUCUUGUAUUCAUUACUUUGUGGAAAACAUCUAAAGACUAAUUUUUGUUUGAUUAAACUUUUAUGUUUGAAGCCCUAACUCUAAUGUCAAUGCAUAAUUAAAAUAUCCUUUGAAAAUCAACUUGAUCUUUUAACCUUGCAACAUUGACCUUUUCCACGUCCUAUAUGGCAAUUUCUACCAAGAAUGACUUCAAUUCAAACAUCUAGACAACAACAACAACAACCAAAGCCUCAGACUCAAACAAAUUAGGGUCGGCUAUAUAAUUUUCACUAACCAUGUUACUUCAUAUAACUCAUCUCCGGCCAUACAAUAGGAAGUAAAAUAAUAUGUAAUAAUAGUUAUAAUACACAAAAUAAUAAACGAAUAAUAGUAAUGAGUAGCUAAUAAUAAUAAUAAUAAAAAUAGGGUAAAAUAAUUUUAGACUACAAUUUAGAGACGCGAAAGAAAUGAAGAAGUAGAAGUAUAAUGAGUAGCUCAACUAAUUAACGUUAAGAUGAUUUCAAACUUAAUUAAUCCUCUUUCUUUAAACCGAAUGCAGUUGUCAAACUAGCUCGAACCCAUUCUUUCUAUAUAUUAUUGACUAAUAUGUACCCGUAGAAUUACUAAACAGUAAUUACAUCGAUAAUAUACAAAUACACAGAAAGAGAUAGCGGGAGAGAAGAGAGAGGGAAUUACAUGUAAUUGUAGCUUCAUAGCAUCCCCUUGAAAAGGCGUUUCUCUUCAGGUACAUGGUAAAUUAAGGACUAGAGAGAUCCAGUGAUCUGUUUAAGGAGAAGCUGCAAAGGCACAAAAUUAAGAUAAGCAUAUAGUUUUAUAGCAUUAUUUAAGUAAACAUUAAAGUUGAUAGAUAACCUGUUAAAGCAUAGAAAUUCAGGAGUAUAUAUCUUACAAAUCAAGCGAAAACCAACAAUCUGGACAUUAUUCUAUGCUUAGCGCUAAUCUUGUGAAUACAUAAACUAUUAAUCUCAGAUCUUCUGUAAUCUGACAAAAGCUGCACAACAAAAGAGGACUGCAAAAGUAGCACUCGGUUAUGUGAAUCAUGACCCCACCUUCCAAUUUCUUUCCUUUUAUAGAAGUUUGUUUUUGCAAGAAAUAUCCCCAAUAAGAAAACCUAAAUUAUGAGAUACGGAGAUAAUUUAGAAGAAAUGGAAGAAAGAGAGCGAAAGAGCGGUGAAGGUGAUGACGGAAGCAUAGAGAGCACAAAUGAAUUGAGAUGCUUUUUUUUUUGCAGUUUAAUUGAUUCAGUGCCCUCUCCAAUCCCAGAUUUAGCAGCAUGAUCAUCAUCUGUGCUCUCUAUCUUCUGUCAACAAUCUCACACCGACUCUUGCCCUUCUUCCAUACAAAGUAGAAGUAGCGCCGCAGUACCGGUUCAUUUGACCUUGAUACUUCAUAAAUUGAUAUGUAAAAUUCUAUUCAAAUUGUAACAAAUAAUAGGUCUGAACCUAUAAUAAAAUAAAAUUAUGCGCAUAGAAGUUAAAUCAUGCAUCGCUUUUGAUUCUAUGUACAGAAAAGAGUUGUGGAAAGAAAAGCAGCAAAUAUAGUAGUUGAUGUUUUAUUCUUUUAUCACGAACAAGAAAAUGAAGGGCAAGAUUUUUCUUUGAGGAUGGUGGGUGGGUGAGUGAUUGUGGCUGGUGUUUAAUGCAGAACGAGUUGUGGUAGGGCUACUUUUUGGGAUGGGGAAAUAUAAUAAUUUGUGGUGGACUGCCCCAUUUAGGACUAGCAGCGGCGGGGAACUUAUUUAUAGAAACAAAUAUGUGUGGGAAUUAAAUGCCCUGGUUGAAAGGGUACCGCAUACUCUUCUCGUAAUAAUAUCUGUUUCCUUUUGACCAAAUUUAAAAAAAAAAAAAAGGUGUGGGGGUGAGGUUUGGGGGGGGGGGGGGUAACCCUAACUUCAGAUCAAGCUAUUUUGAGUAUGGGGUAUGGAUUCCCAGCAGAAAGUUUCUCCGUCUUAGCACAUGUAAAUUCGGAUGAGUCGAGACGUCAUUACAAUUUACACAUAUCGGACGCCGAGUAGGAAAUCAAAUAAAAAACAUUUGGUUAUUGCAUAUUGAAAGUGCUCAGUAAACGUUACAAAAUGAUAGCAUACAUUAACAGGAGGUAAAAAGUUUCUCUUGUAGAAAUAGUCAAAUAACAAAAGAAGAUCUUAAUUUUCAUUAUUUUCUCGAAAGUCAAUUAAUUGUCUUUCCGAGGGGACUUUCUACCGUCAAAUUAAAUUAAUAAAUUGAUAAUGUAUGAGAUUACAGAUGAUAUUAUAUAGUACUAUGUGGCUUUGACAAGUACCUGGGAGCUAGAUUUGAAAGAAAGUGUGAAACCGACAUAAAAUGAAAACAUCAUUUCCCCAUCAUUCUUUGGUUGUAACUUACAAUCUUUAAUUUACUGCUGCAUCAUGCGAGUUUAAUGGUUCCUUUAACUGAAUAUUUCACCUUAUUCUUCUACUCCAAGAUCCUAAACAACUUUGUUGUAUUACUCGGGAAGAAUUUUGCAAAUAUUAGAGAUUUGUGGUUGGGUUUGGUAAAACCCCUUCCAAAUUCGAAAGUAGGUCCUUUCUUCUUCUUUAGAUUGUCUCGGCUAAAUAAUUGAUUAAUGGGUACCAUUAUAAGUAUUUUUAGGAAUUAUAUUUCAAUAAAAACAAAUAGUGUCCAUCUGUCUUGAUAUGGUUCUUAAUAAUACACGUGUUUCAGUUUAUAUGGCAGCAUUUCUUUUUUAGUUUGUUAAAAGAAGAAUGAUAACAUUUUAAAUUUAAAAUAAUUUAAUCUAAACUUCUCGUUUUACCUUUAAUAUCUUCAAUAACAAGUUGUUAUGGUCACUCAAAUAUUGUGUCAUAUUUAAGAUCACGAGUUUCAGAAGUCUUAAUAGCUGCACAAAUAUUAUGAAAAUGUUACAACAAAUUUGAAAAAUCUUAUAAACACACAAAUUUUGUGACAUGUUUGAAAUCACAAAUUAACAAGGCUUUCGUUUUUCUAUUGAACUUUUGUGCCCAGUUAAAAUUCCUAGCUGGUUUUCAGAUGGAUAAAUCUAGACAGACUUGUGGGAAAAUUAUCACAAUUCCCAUCGUAACGAAUGACCAGAUAUUUAUGCAUUCUCUUAAAUUUAUUUUUCUUCUUUUUGAUUUAUAUGGUAAGAAGAUAGAAGAAAUGAGGUGUACGUGAGAAGGAAAGAUUCACACUGUUGGCAUUUUAAUUGAAUGCAAGUUGCAAGAAACAAGGAGCAGAAAAAAUUCCAAAAGCGACCCUCAAAUACACAUACCUUUCCUAAUCCAACCUAAACUUUUGUUGAGUUUACGUCGUUGGUGACGUGGAUGAUGUGACUCUUCUUAUGGGGAGCUCGACAUUGGAAAAAUAUAUAGUCGACUUUUAAAAUAAUAGUCGAUAUAUAUAUAUAUAUAUAUAUAUUAUGUACGUUAUAUAUAAAAAUUAUAUAAAUUUUAUACACUUUUCGACUAUCAAAUAUGGAUAAUUUAUGAUGCGGGCUAAAACUGAAAAAAGCCCUUAGACAAUCCUCCCUCUUGAGUUUGGCCCAAUAUCUAUUUUCUUUAUCUAUCUUUUUCUUUUUCUCCCAAAAAGUAGUAGUGAUCAACAAGUGAAGCAAGAUCAACAUGUAAAUGAAACAGUGUGUGACCAUUGAAUAUCCGAGUCAUUUACGGGUUAAGUAAAGCGAGAGUCCGUCAAUCCUUUCUUAGGGUUUCAACUAGGGAUGGCAAAUAGACGGAUUGGGUCGGAUAUGGACGGGUCGAAAACAGAUAAUGUAAAAACGGAUAAAUUAUCUGACCCGACAUAUUUAAUACGAAUAAAAAACGGGUUAACCGGCAUAUAAUAUGGAUAUUUGUGGGGUCCAUCUCCAUAAAUGAUUCAAAGAAAAAAGGGAGAUUAUGGGGUCCAUCCCUAUAAUGAAGAAGAAAAGGAAGGAAAAGUGAGCAUCGACUUUCAUCUCUACAUACCAACAAAGAGAGAAAGAAAGAGUCACAGACAAGGUAUAAAAAAAUAGUCUGUGAGAAAAAUACAGAGUGAACGAUAUUGUAGUGAGGUGGGAAUAUCAAAAGAGGGUUAUUUCUUUUGAGUGUUGUAGUGGUCUUUGGAGUAUUUUACUCGAACCUACAAAGUGUAAAAUUCCUUGCUAUAGUGAUAUCUGUUGCUCGUUUCGAGACCGUGGUUUUUUCCUUAUUCAAAAGGUCAUAAACAUCCUGGUGUCGUUGUCACUCUUUUAUUCUUGUUAAUUACCGUAUCUCGGUGCUACGUUAUUAUUCUGCUUUUAUUACUGUGAAUAUUAUUUUUGUAGGAGCUUUAUUCCCAACAACUGGUAUCAGAGCACAUGUUUUGCUCGUUCACAAAAAUACUAUUCUCUAUCGGUAGUACUAUACUCGGUGAAAAACUCAAAUGUCCGGAGUAAAGUAUGAGGUAGCAAAAUUUAACGGAGAUAAUGGUUUCUCAACAUGGCAAAGAAGGAUGAGAGAUCUGCUCAUCCAACAAAGAUUACACAAAGUACUAGAUGUUGAUGCCAAAAAGCCUGAUACCAUGAAAGCUGAGGAUUGGGCUGACUUGGAUGAAAGGACUGGUAGUAUAAUCACGUUGCACUUAUCAGAUGAUGUGGUAAAUAACAUCAUUGAUGAAGACACCACACGUGGAAUUUGCACAAAGUUGGAAAGCUUAUACAUGUUCAAAACAUUGACAAAUAAAUUGUACCUGAAGAAGCAAUUAUACGCCCUACACAUGGGUGAAGGUACGAAUUUUUUGUCAUAUUUAAAUAUGUUUAACGGACUAAUCACACAACUUGCCAACCUCGGAGUGAAAAUCGAGGAAGAAGAUAAAGCCAUCUUGAUAUUGAACUCGUUGCCAUCUUCGUACGAUAAUUUGGCAACAACCAUCAUGCACGGUAAGACUACCAUUGAGUUGAAAGACGUCACAUCCGCUCAUCUACUCAAUGAGAAGAUGAGAAAAAAGCCUGAAAAUCAAGGACAAGCUCCCAUCACAGAAGGUAGAGGCAAGAUUUAUCAAAGGAGUUCGAGCAACUAUGGUAGAUCCGGAGCUCGUGAGAAGUCUAAGAACCGAUCCAAAUCAAGAGCUAGAAAUUGCUAUAAUUGUGAUCAACCAGGCCACUUCAAAAGAGAUUGCCCAAAUUCAAGGAAGAGCAAAGGUGAAACUAGUGGCCAGAAGAAUGACGACAACACAACCGCCAUAGUGUAAAAUAAUGAUAAUGUUUUCCUCUUUAUAAACGAGGAAGAGGAAUGCAUGCACUUAUCAGGUCUAGAGUCGGAAUGGGUGGUUGAUACAGUAGCAUCUUACAAUGCCACAUCGGUAAGAGAUCUUUUUUGCAGAUAUAUAGUAGGUGAUUUCGGUACUAUGAGAAUGGAUAACACAAGUUGCUCAAAGAUUGCGGGGAUUGGUAACAUUUGUAUCAAGACAAAUGUCGGAUGCACAUUGGUUCUAAAGGACGUGCGACAUGUACAUGAUUUGCGGAUGAACUUGAUCUCGAAAAUUGCUUUAGACCGAGAUGGAUACGAGAACUAUUUUGCAAAUUAAAAGUGGAGACUCACCAAGGGAUCAUUGGUGAUUGCAAAGGGAGUUGCUCGUGGCACGUUGUACAGAACAAAUGCAGAAAUAUGCCAAGGUGAAUUGAACACGGCACAAGAUGAGAUUUCUGCAGAUUUGUGGCACAAAAUAAUGGGUCAUAUGAGCGAGAAGGGAUUGCAGAUUCUUGCCAGGAAAUCACCCAUUUCUUAUGCUAAAGGUACAACGGUAAAACCUUAUGACUAUUACUUAUUUGAUAAGCAACAUAGAGUCUCAUUUCAGACAUCGUCUGAAAGAAAAUUAAAUAUACUUGAUUUGGUAUAUUCUGAUAUUUUCGAUGGGCGGUAACAAAUAUUUUAUUACUUUUAUUGAUGAUGCUUCACGAAAAUUGUGGGUUUAUAUUUUGAAAAUCAAAGAUCAUGUAUUUCAAGUUUUCUAGAAGUUUCAUGCUAUGGUGGAAAGGGAGACAGGCCAAAAGCUAAAGCAUUUUCGAAGUGACAAUGGAGGUGAGUACACUUCAAGGGAAUUUGAAGAGUAUUGUUUGAGCCAUGGGAUCAGACAUGAAAAGACAGUUCCUGAAAUCCCAUAGCACAAUGGCGUAGCCGAUAUGAUGAAUUGCACCAUUGUGGAGAAGGUGAGAAGCAUGAUCAUAAUGGCUAAACUACCUAAGUCAUUCUAGGGUGAAGCAGUUCAGACAUCCUGUUACAUGAUCAAUAGGAGUCCAUCAGUUUCGUUGGCGUUUGACAUCCCAAAGAGAGUUUGGACCAACAAGGAGGUGUCAUACUCGAAUCUGAAGGUGUUCGGUUGCAGAGCUUUUGCAUAUGUACCAAAGGAGCAGAGAACAAAGCUGGAUGAUAAAUUUGUUCCCUGUAUAUUCAUCGGAUACGGAGAUGAAGAGUUCGGGUACAGAUUGUGGGAUCGUGUAAAGAAGAAGGUCAUUAGAAGCAGAGAUGUAGUUUUUCGAGAAUGUAAAGUUGGAACUGCUGAUGAUAUGUCAGAAAAUGCCAAGAAUUGUAUAAUUUCUAACCUUAUUGCCGUUCCUUCUUCUUCUGACUAUCCCACAAGUGCAGAAAGUACGACCGACGAGGUUACCAAGCAGGGGGAGCAACCUGGUGAGGUUAUUAAGCAGGGGGAGCAACUUGAUGAUGAUGUCGAGCAAGUGGAGUACCUCACUCAGGGAGAAGAACAACCUCAACCUCUGAGGAGAUCAGAGAGGCCAAGGGUAGAGUCAUGCAGAUAUCUUUCCACAGAGUAUGUCCUUAUCAGUGAUGAAGGGGAUCCAGAAAGUAUUAAGGAGGUGAUGUCCCAUCCAGAGAAGAACCAUUGGAUGAAAGCCAUGCAAGAAGAAAUGGAAUUUCUACAGAAAAAUGGCACGUACAAGCUGGUUGAACUUUCAAAGGGUAAAAGACCACUCAAAUGCAAAUGGGUCUUUAAACGCAAGAAAGAUGGAAAUGGCAAGCUGGUCAGAUACAAAGCUCGAUUGGUGGUAAAAGGCUUCGACCAGAAGAAAGGUAUUGAUUUUGACAAAAUUUUCUCACUUGUUGUCAAAAUGACUUCUAUUCGAACAAUUUUGUGCUUAGCAGCUAGCCUAGAUCUUGAAGUGGAGCAGUUGGACGUGAAAACUAUAUUUAUUCACUAAGAUUUGGAAGAGGAGAUCUAUAUGGAAUCCAGAAGGAUUUGAAGUAGCUGAAAGGAAACACAUGGUGUGCAAACUGAAUAAGAGUCUUUAUAGGUUGAAGCAGGCACCAAGGUAGUGGUACAAGAAGUUUGACACAUUCAUGAAAAGUCAAAGUUACACAAAGACAUAUUCUGAUCCAUGUGUAUACUUCAAAAGAUUUUCUGAGAAUAACUUUAUUAUAUUGUUGUUGUAUGUGGAUGACAUGUUAAUUGUAGGAAAAGACAAGGGGAUGAUCCCAAAGUUGAAGGGAGAUUUGUCCAAGUCAUUUGAUAUGAAUGACUUGGGUCCAGCACAACAAAUUCUGGGAAUGAAGAUAGUUCGAGAGCGAACAGGCAGAAAGUUGUGGCUGUCUCAGGAGAAAUACAUUGAACGUGUACUGGAACGCUUCAACAUGAAGAAUGCUAAGCCAGUCGACACACCUCUUGCUAGUCAUCUAAAGUUGAGCAAGAAGAUAUGUCAUACAACAGUGGAGGAGAAAGGGAACAUAGCUAGAGUUCCUUAUUCUUCAGCAGUCGGAAGCUUGAUGUAUGCAAUGGUAUGUACCAGACCUGAUACUGCUCAUGCAGUUGGUGUUGUUAGCAGAUUCCUUGAAAAUCCUGAAAAGGAACAUUGGGAAGUAGUCAAGUAGAUACUCGGGUACCUAAGAGGUACUAUAGGAGAUUGCUUGUGUUUUGGAGGAUCUGAUCCAAUUUUGAAAGGCUAUACAUAUGCUGAUAUGGCAGGUGACAUUGAUAACAGAAAAUCCACUAUUGGAUAUUUGUUUAUAUUUUCAGGGGGAGCUAUAUCACGGCAGUCGAGGUUGCAGAAGUAUGUCGCACUCUCUACAAUUGAAGCGGAGUAUAUUGCCGAUACUGAAGCUGGCAAGGAGAUGAUAUGGUUGAAACGGUUCCUUCAAGAGCUUGGAUUGCAUCAGAAUGAGUAUGUUGUCUAUUGUGACAGUCAAAGUGCAGUAGACAUUAGCAAGAACUCCAUGUACCAUGCAAAGACCAAACAUAUCAAUGUGAGAUAUCACUGGAUUCGAGAAAUGGUAGAGAAUGAAUCUCUAAAAGUCUUGAAGAUUUCUACAAGUGAGAAUCCCGCAGAUAUGCUAACCAAGGUGGUACCAAGUGACAAGUUCAAAUUGUGCAAAGAACUUGUCGGCAUGCACUCAAGCUAGAAGUUUGGUGUUACCUCCUUCAGGUGAAUGGGUCUGGAGGGGGAGAUUUGUGGGGUUCAUCCCCAUAAAUGAAUCAAAAAAAAAGGUACAUUGUGGGGUCAAUCCCCAUAAUGAAGAAGAAAUGGAAGGAAAAGUGUCAAAUAUAGUAGGCACUUAUGUGAUUUGCAAAUCUGUAGAGAGAAAAAUGUCAAAUAUAGUAGGCGUGAGAGAGUGAGGUUCUGCCUAUAAAAGGAGAGUUUCGGUUCUCAUCUCUACACACCAACAAAGAGAGAAAGAAAGAGUGAGGUUUCACAGACAAGGUAUAAGAAAAUAAUCUGUGAGAAAAAUAGAGAGUGAGUGAGCGAUAUUGUAGUGAGGUGGGAAUAUCAAAAAAGGGUUAUUUCUUUUGAGUGUUGUAGUGGUCUUUGGAGUAUUUUAUUCGGACCUACAAAGUGUAAAUUUUCUUGCUAUAAUGAUAUCAGUUGUUCGUCUCGGGGCCGUAGUUUUUCCCUUAUUCAAAAGGCUUUUCCACGUAAAAAUCUUGGUAUCGUUGUCACUCUUUUAUUCUUGUUAAUUACCGUAUCUCGGUGCUACAUUAUUAUUCCGCUUUUAUUACUGUGAAUAUUAUUUAUGUAGGGGGUUUAUUCCAAACAAUAUCCAUAUUAUUCAUGGCUUUUUGAAUAAUAUAUAUAUGAGAGAAUCACUAAUCUCCUAAACUUAAAAAACCUUCAAUUUGAGGCUUUACAAAUAUAAAAGGUUAAAUCCAUUGAUUAUCCAUUUUUUAAGUGGAUAAUAUGAUUCUUAUUUAUAUUAGAUCCGUUUUUAAAAGGCUUGUCAUUCAACUCAUUUUUUAGUAAACAAUAUCUUUGAAUAACUAUUUUUUUUAAAACUAUUUUGCUGCCACCAGUUCCAACUCAAACGAUGGAAGCUUAAGCGCUAAUGAAAGAGGAGGCUUCUCUUAACGUGUCAAAACCCCUCAGCUUAAUUCAGUAAUCUUGAUCCCAUUGUGGGGCUACUUGAUGCUGAAAUGGUACUAUCUAUCAAGUGUCAAGUCAAGCUUUGAAACAACAAGUAUAGAAAACUCUACAAAAAGAGGCAUGGUCCAGGAUAUAUAUAGCUUUAAAUUGUAUGGGUCUUGGGGAAACUAUAUCUCAAAAAUGGAAUAUGAUUAAAGAUGGAGUAUGAUUAGACUUCUUUAGAUAUGUAGAUUCAAGAAGCACGAUGUGAUGGAAUCUGAUUCAAUUUUUACAUGUAAUUGUAAGUCAAAGCUGGUUUUUUACUAUGGCCUGGGUGGUGCACCAAUCAAUAAACGCGUGAUGUAUGUUAUGUUCAUUGGCUUAUAUUUUUAUGUAAUUGACAUACACGUUAAAUAAGAACCUAAAUAAAUAACAUUUCUUUAAUAUUUAUUCG
rnacentral:lncRNA from 1 species